rnacentral:lncRNA from 1 species
CAGAUUCACCAUGUGAUCCACCGGCAAGGGAGAAUGCCAAUGGAAGGCGUCCGAUAAGAUAAGUCUUACAAAAUAUAUAGAUUUAUGAUAAUUAAGACUGAGCUAACAGAUGAGAACCCUAGUCACUGGCCAAGCAACAUUUGCACCUAAUGUAAGUCUCUGUGCAUUAAUUGGGGUCCUAACUCCUCGGACAGAACUCAGGCGGCUGGUGGAGACUGCUCAUGUGGUGAUAGGGUUUGGGUGGCUUUUGGCAGUAAGAUUUAUCGUAACAAUACCCAAGCAAAACAACAACAACCAAAGAGGAGGAAAAGAGCCCCAAGAGCAGGCAAAAGAGUCACAGACAUACCACACUUCCUUUUAGGAGUACCACAAAAACACCAAACUAACUGUCAAAACUUACACAAACCAGGACCUGGAGCUUGCAUCUUCAGAUUCUCUAUCCGCAGUGCCCUGGCUCAAGUUCCAGUCAUCUCUCCCAAAACUCUCUGUGUCCAUUCUUACCUCAACAUAAACCCAGCCACACUGAACCUCUUAGAAGAGAAAGUGGGAGGUACCCUUGAACAAAUUGGUACAGGACGCCACUUCCUGAACGUAACACCAGUAGAACAGAUACUGAGAUCCACAAUUAAUAAAUGGAAACCAAGAAGCUCCUCUAAGGCAAGGACACAGUCAACAAGACAAAAUGGCAGCCUACAGAAUGGGAAAAGAUCUUCUCCAACCCCACAUCUGACAGAAGACUGAUUUCCAACAGAGAACUCAAGAAGCUAGUCACCAAAACACCAAACAAUUCAAUUAAAAAUUAAGAGCCCUCAUCCAGUGGCUGAUGGAAGCAGAGGCAGACACCCACAGAUAUACACUGAACUGAACUUUGGAACUUAGUUAGUUACAGAGAGGGAGGAAUGAAGAUCGAAGGGGUCAGUACCAGGCUGGUGAAACCCACAGAAACAGCUGCCCUGAACAAGGGGGAACACAUCGACCCCCAGAGUGCUGUCUGGGAGGCCAGCACAGGACUGAUGCAGACCCCUGAACAUGGAUGUCAAUGAGGAGGCCUCUGCACUCUAGGGGGCCCCUGGUAGUGGAUUAGUAUUUUUCCCUGGUGUAAGAAGGGAUUUUGAGAGCCCAUCCCACGUAAAGGGAUGCACUCUCGGCCUGGACACAUGGGGAAGGGCCUAGGCCCAGUCCAGGAUGAUGUGGUGGACUUUUCGGAGCCCCCAUUGAGGGCCCUACCCUGCCUGGGGAUUGGAGGGUGGAUGGGGUGGG